rnacentral:rRNA from 1 species
GACGAACGCUGGCGGCGUGCUUAACACAUGCAAGUCGAACGCUGAAGCACCAGCUUGCUGGUGUGGAUGAGUGGCGAACGGGUGAGUAAUACGUGAGUAACCUGCCCUUGACUCUGGGAUAAGCCCGGGAAACUGGGUCUAAUACUGGAUGCUACAUGUCACCGCAUGGUGGUGUGUGGAAAGGGUUUACUGGUCUUGGUUGGGCUCACGGCCUAUCAGCUUGUUGGUGAGGUAAUGGCUCACCAAGGCGACGACGGGUAGCCGGCCUGAGAGGGUGACCGGCCACACUGGGACUGAGACACGGCCCAGACUCCUACGGGAGGCAGCAGUGGGGAAUAUUGCACAAUGGGCGAAAGCCUGAUGCAGCGACGCCGCGUGAGGGAUGACGGCCUUCGGGUUGUAAACCUCUUUCAGCAGGGAAGAAGCCACAAGUGACAGUACCUGCAGAAGAAGCGCCGGCUAACUACGUG